rnacentral:lncRNA from 1 species
UUUAGUGUUCUUGAGGCGAUGGAGGAAGAACCAACCCACCAAAGGAAAUCUUGAGGCGAUGGAGGAAGAACCAACCCACAAAAGGAAAUCUUACUUUUACGGCUGCCCGCCAUUGCACAAGCGUUGCCCACGAUCUUGGGCAAAAGCCCAGACAUGGAGAAACCUUGUAAAGAGUUUAAUGAAAGAAGGGAAGAUCAUCUCUCACAAUUCUAGACCUCAGACUUGUUGUUACGAUGCCGAGGGCUAUUCUCAGAAUUUCGACAAUGGAGGCAGCCGGCAAGAACUCGAACCUCAUUGGUUUUCUAUCUCUAAAGAAGACAAGAUAAGGUUUUAGUGACCUGCAAAAUCAUGUGUACUACUGGUGUUGAAGUUUCUCUUAGGGCACGUUUGAUAACUGGAAGGAAGGAAAACUUCUAGUGUUUGUAGCAUUUCCGUAUUCGAAA